UACGGAGGGUGCAAGCGUUAUCCGGAUUUAUUGGGCGUAAAGAGCGUGUAGGCGGCCUGAAAGGUCAGCUGUGAAAACUCGAGGCUCAACCUCGAGACGUCGGUUGAAACCAUCUGGCUAGAGUCCGGAAGAGGAGUGCGGAAUUCCCGGUGUAGCGGUGAAAUGCGCAGAUAUCGGGAAGAACACCCGUGGCGAAGGCGGCACUCUGGGACGGUACUGACGCUGAGACGCGAAAGCGUGGGGAGCGAACAGG
rnacentral:rRNA from 1 species